UAGGGAAUCUUCCGCAAUGGACGCAAGUCUGACGGAGCAACGCCGCGUGAGUGAAGAAGGAUUUCGGUUCGUAAAACUCUGUUGUUAGAGAAGAACAGCGCAUAGAGUAACUGUUAUGCGUGUGACGGUAUCUAACCAGAAAGCCACGGCUAACUACGUGCCAGCAGCCGCGGUAAUACGUAGGUGGCAAGCGUUGUCCGGAUUUAUUGGGCGUAAAGCGAGCGCAGGCGGUCAAUUAAGUCUGAUGUGAAAGCCCCCGGCUCAACCGGGGAGGGUCAUUGGAAACUGGUUGACUUGAGUGCAGAAGAGGAGAGUGGAAUUCCAUGUGUAGCGGUGAAAUGCGGAGAUAUAUGGAGGAACACCAGUGGCGAAGGCGACUCUCUGGUCUGUAACUGACGCGGAGGCUCGAAAGCGUGGGUAGCAAACAGG
rnacentral:rRNA from 1 species